CACGAAGCCGGAGUUGCUAGUAAUCGCGAAUCAGAAUGUCGCGGUGAAUGCGUUCCCGGGUCUUGUACACACCGCCCGUCACACCAUGGAAGUUGGGGGUGCCCAAAGCCGGCAAGCAAAUAUGCUGUCUAAGGCAAAACCAAUGACUGGGGUGAAGUCGUAACAAGGUAAC
rnacentral:rRNA from 1 species